GUUCUGAUAAUAAACUAUAAUAAGUGUGGACACAUGUGAAUGUCUUACUUACAUAAUUUAUAAUAUGUAAGACUGCUGAUACUUAUAUUGAAUUACACACAUUAGAUUUUAAUGAAAAAUUAUGAAUUGUAGCAAAAUCAAUCAAGAAAAAAGAGUUGAUUUUUAAGGGAAACUAUAAACUGUCUUAUUCAGAAAGUAUUAUAUUUUUACAGCUGCUACCUAAGUCUUAGCUUUUGACUUGGUCCAUACAACAAGACCUGCAAGUUAAGGUCAACCUUGUCGGACAGAUAAUCUUAAUCUCUAAAGCAUACACAGAAUACAUUUGGCCUAUUGUGAGUACAGGGGACUAUUCCAGUAUGUCCAAUGCAUUGAUGAGAGUUCCUGU
rnacentral:lncRNA from 1 species